AAACUCCUGGCUUCAAGCAGUCCCCCCACUUCAGCCUCCCACUGGGGUUACAGGAAAGGAAGCUGCACUUCCUGCUCUCGUGUGCCAGGCCAGUUACUGUAGAGAUGUACGCUCCAUUCAAACAGCGUCAUCUUCCCCGGGCUGCAGAGAUACCAGUGUUACAGCACCGCCGAGAUAAGGAGCUGACCGCUGCUGUUGGGAGGACCUGGAGAUGAUUCAUGACAAGAGCACUAUAGGAAGAGAGAGAAACAUCUGCUCCCUCGAGUGCCAGGGUGGCAGAGGCCACCGAAAAUCUUCACUUGGCUGAAGACUUGCACCCUCCAAAGCAACUCCCUGGGCAUCUUCAAAGCCGGAGGCCUGGAAGUGAGAAGAGGCCAACAUGUGCUCUAAUGAGAUACAGCCCCAGGUUCCACUUCAUCUCCUUGAGACUCCAGCUUUUGCUUGCUCUCCCCAUGUCCACCUUCCCUUCCUGACUGCCAGCGGCAGCCGGCAGAUUAUAUUUCCACGCGGCAGCUCAAUGCGCUCAGCCAAUGCAUCAAGGAAGCCAGUGGAGGGUUAUCAAUCAAUAAUGGCUCAAACAGUGAGCGUGUGAAAGAUGAAUACUGGAUGUUUUCCAGGACUUUGCAGUCAUUCAUAUGCGUAUAUACUUUGCAAAUUUCCAAGAAGAAAAUAUAGCAUGUGGCAUGUCUCAAACUUGAUUGUUCUAUAGAAAGUGUUAUGAGCUCAACUGUGUCUCCCUAAAACUCAUAUAUUGAAGCUCUAACCCCCAGUGCCUUAGAAUGGGACUGUGUUCGAAGAUAAGGCCUUUAAAAUGGGAAUUAAGGUAAAAAGGGGUCAUGAAAGUGGGCCCUAAUCCAGUAUCACUGGUGUCCUGAAUGACCAUGUGAACACACAGCAAGAAAGCAGCCAUGUGAACCUGCAAGCUGCCGGGCGUGGUGACUCACACCUGUAAUCCCAGCACUUUGGGAGGCCGAAGCAGGUGGAUCAUGAAGUCCAGAGUUCAAGAUCAGCCUGAUCAACAUGGUGA